UAUUACAAUAUAAGGUUUUGUCUAAGGACUUCUUAGAUAUGCUACAAUUCAGCAUGAAUUCUUUUUCACCACUGAAUGCAACUUUUCUUUAAAGCUUCCUACACUGGGGACACGUCUACACGGGGGAACAAAAAGAUUUAUAGACGGAAGAGAUCAUUUCGGAUAUUACAGUAUCGGAGAAAAGAAGCCUAGCGAGAAGUCCAGUUAACUAAAACAAAUAUACUGAUGAAAGUGAAUUGGAUAUCGACAUACCUUUGAAAUGUUCCGAACAUAGUUGAUUAUAGCACCCUAAUAGCGAUAAAAACAAAAAGAAUUAAGGAACCAUUAAUCUAUCGGCUACGAGGAGGCAGAAAAAUAUAAAAGAUCUUACGAAAAGGGAUAGUGAGGAAGAAAGGAGAAUCAAAAAGAGAAAUAGAAUACUCCAUUAAACAAUUGGAGGUGGAUGUGUUAAUUAAUACACUAAUCGAAGUGAUCUUAAACACAAACAAAAUAAAUACGAGAUUCCACUUAUAAUCCAAAAAAGAUCAGGAAAUAGCCAGUCACUAAAAAUAACGGACAUGCAAGUGGCAUUUCUGAGUGGAUCCAAAGAUUAAAUAAAAAAAGAGGAGCAAGGAUUAUAUCGAUCAAGGAAAUGGUUAUUCAUAGAAAGCUGGUGGUAACCCAAACGUCGCCUCCUAAAACAGAACAUAGUAGCUACAAAAUACAGACUGAUACAAAAAGGAAAGAACACUACCAACUCAGUGAAAGGAUACAGACCUUCCCAGCAGAAAACAAAGAGGAGGAAUUUAAGGAAAAGAGCAAGGAAAGGAGAGUUGGCAUACGCGGACGUAUGCAAAAAGAUUAAAAAGAAAAGAAAUCAACGAAUAUCAACAUCAACCCAAAAGGAACAUUAGAGAAGCAAGAAAUCAGCAAAGAAUCCACAAUAGACCGGAGGCAAUACUCGUUGAGGUCGAAAGAGGAAGAGAAUGACUCGAAGCCUAUAGAGAACUUAUAGGAGCAAAGGAAGCUCUCAAGGAAACGACAGGCGUAGGAAUUAAAAGCUAAAGCACCAACGAGUGAAAUAUUUGAGAAACUAAAAACGGUGGCAUUGAUCCACUGACGAGCAAAUAAGAGCUCAGUAGUGAUAUUUGUCGAGAUUUAGACAUAAGUAACACGAACUGUAUCGACGUCAAGACACUACAAAUAAUUCUAUGGGGAACACAACAGUUGUUACCCCACAUCAACUGUACCUACUGAUUAUAA